GCUAACUCCGAGCCAGCAGCCGUGGUAAUACGCAGGGUGCAAGCGUUAAUCGGAAUUACUGGGCGUAAAGCGCACGCAGGCGGUCUGUCAAGUCGGAUGUGAAAUCCCCGGGCUCAACCUGGGAACUGCAUUCGAAACUGGCAGGCUAGAGUCUUGUAGAGGGGGGUAGAAUUCCAGGUGUAGAGGUGAAAUGCGUAGAGAUCUGGAGGAAUAGCGGUGGCGAAGGCGGCCCCCUGGACAAAGACUGACGCUCAGGUGCGAAAGCGUGGGGAGCAAAUAGGAUUAGAUACCCUGGUAGUCCAUGCCGUAAACGCUGUCGACUUGGAGGUUGUGCCCUUGAGGCGUGGCUUCCGGAGCUAACGCGUUAAGUCGACAGCCUGGGGAGUACGGCCGUAAGGUUAAAACUCAAAUGAAUUGACGGGGGCCCGCACAAGCGGUGGAGCAUGUGGUUUAAUUCGAUGCAACGCGACGAACCUUACCUACUCUUGACAUCCAGAGAACUUUCCAGAGAUGGAUUGGUGCCUUCGGGAACUCUGAGACAGGUGCUGCAUGGCUGUCGUCAGCUCGUGUUGUGAAAUGUUGGGUUAAGUCCCGCAACGAGCGCAACCCUUAUCCUUUGUUGCCAGCGGUCCGGCCGGGAACUCAAAGGAGAUUGCCAGUGAUAAACUGGAGGAAGGUGUGGAUGACGUCAAGUCAUCAU
rnacentral:rRNA from 1 species